UCAGAUCUGUUAAUUUAGUUUACUUGUUCCCCUUGUUUUCUUUAUCUCGUCUCCCCUGAGACUUGUUCUUCCUUAAAUGGGUUUUCUGCAUUUUUUUUUCUUCCUGAUUCAGUUUAGUUAUAUAUCUAUUGGUUUUAUUUAAUGAUUGAUUUAUUUACUUAUCACUGUUAUCUAUUUAUUCAUUCAUUUAUAUUUAUUUAUUUAUCUACUUAUUUCAUUUAAUCUAUUUAUUUCUAUUUGCGAGUCAAUUCAAAUACUUAGGAAGGGAAUAAAACGGCUGUCUGGUAACACAAAAGUGACGGGAGAACAAGAAAUAUGCGUCAGUUCUGGAAUCCAACGCACUGAUAUCACAAAAAUGAGGAUGGACUGACUGAUUAGACGCGCUGCCACAACCCAAUGAAUUAGGACAAGCUAGAAAAAGAGAGUUACUAAUAUUUUUACACCUCCUUCGUCUCAACUAUAGCGGCAUGACAAAGAAUAACAGCAAAACAAAGUGGUGGCAAGGUAACAUGACAGCGUAUCUUUGCGUACAUGGUAAUGCAAUAAAAGCCCAGAGUUGCCACCGCUGUCCCUUUCUGAGCCGGGCGGACGCGACACGCCUUCACUUCAUUCGCGUUUAAAUUUUCCAAGUGAUAAUGUUGAAGUGCUAAUGGAAAAUGUUUGUCAUGGCUUCAGAUUAAAUAUAUUCUUUUUU